UACGUAGGGUGCAAGCGUUAAUCGGAAUUACUGGGCGUAAAGCGUGCGCAGGCGGUGAUGUAAGACAGAUGUGAAAUCCCCGGGCUCAACCUGGGAACUGCAUUUGUGACUGCAUCGCUGGAGUGCGGCAGAGGGGGAUGGAAUUCCGCGUGUAGCAGUGAAAUGCGUAGAUAUCCGGCGGAACACCGGUGGUGAAGGCGAUUCCCUGGACCGAGGCCGACGCUGAGGCGCGAGAGCGUGGGGAGCGAACCGG
rnacentral:rRNA from 1 species